rnacentral:pre_miRNA from 1 species
GGUUUGCCCAUUCGUCGGGCGAUUUCUUCGCUUUGUCCAGACUGCUGUUCUUCCGUUCACGAAUCAUGUGCCGAUCCAAUCCAAGAGAUUCGAACCUACCUCCGUCCAGAGCAGACUCCCACCUGCUCGACGAUGUCCCACAACCACGGUAGUGCAAUUUCUAUGCCCAUUUUUGACUCUCUGAUCAAAUUAUUAUCAGUCGUUGCCGACGUAAUUCGGAGCAAACGUAAGAGUGUACUGAGGAUGAAGGUAGUGUUGAAUCUCUUAGAGUUGGUUCCUGAAGCGAUUCGUGAAGGAAGAAUGUGCAAUCGGGACAACCGACGAAGUCGCCCGACGUAAUGUGCUUGACU